rnacentral:rRNA from 1 species
ACGGAGGGUGCAAGCGUUAUCCGGAAUCAUUGGGUUUAAAGGGUCCGCAGGCGGAUGUAUAAGUCAGUGGUGAAAGCCUACAGCUCAACUGUAGAACUGCCAUUGAUACUGUACGUCUUGAAUUCGGUCGAAGUGGGCGGAAUGUGUAGUGUAGCGGUGAAAUGCUUAGAUAUUACACAGAACACCGAUAGCGAAGGCAGCUCACUAGGCCUGAAUUGACGCUCAUGGACGAAAGCGUGGGGAGCAAACAGGAUUAGAUACCCUGGUAGUCCACGCCGUAAACUAUCAAUACUCGUUUUCGGCGAUAUACGGUCGGAGACUAAGCGAAAGUGAUAAGUAUUGCACCUGGGGAGUACGAUCGCAAGGUUG